AGUCGAGCGGAGAUGAGGUGCUUGCACCUUAUCUUAGCGGCGGACGGGUGAGUAAUGCUUAGGAAUCUGCCUAUUAGUGGGGGACAACAUUCCGAAAGGAAUGCUAAUACCGCAUACGUCCUACGGGAGAAAGCAGGGGAUCUUCGGACCUUGCGCUAAUAGAUGAGCCUAAGUCGGAUUAGCUAGUUGGUGGGGUAAAGGCCUACCAAGGCGACGAUCUGUAGUGGGUCUGAGAGGAUGAUCCGCCACACUGGGACUGAGACACGGCCCAGACUCCUACGGGAGGCAGCAGUGGGGAAUAUUGGACAAUGGGGGGAACCCUGAUCCAGCCAUGCCGCGUGUGUGAAGAAGGCCUUAUGGUUGUAAAGCACUUUAAGCGAGGAGGAGGCUACUGAGACUAAUACUCUUGGAUAGUGGACGUUACUCGCAGAAUAAGCACCGGCUAACUCUGUGCCAGCAGCCGCGGUAAUACAGAGGGUGCGAGCGUUAAUCGGAUUUACUGGGCGUAAAGCGUGCGUAGGCGGCUUUUUAAGUCGGAUGUGAAAUCCCCGAGCUUAACUUGGGAAUUGCAUUCGAUACUGGGAAGCUAGAGUAUGGGAGAGGAUGGUAGAAUUCCAGGUGUAGCGGUGAAAUGCGUAGAGAUCUGGAGGAAUACCGAUGGCGAAGGCAGCCAUCUGGCCUAAUACUGACGCUGAGGUACGAAAGCAUGGGGAGCAAACAGGAUUAGAUACCCUGGUAGUCCAUGCCGUAAACGAUGUCUACUAGCCGUUGGGGCCUUUGAGGCUUUAGUGGC
rnacentral:rRNA from 1 species